rnacentral:rRNA from 1 species
AGCAGCCGCGGUAAUUCCAGCUCCAAUAGCGUACAUUAAAGUUGUUGCAGUUAAAAAGCUCGUAGUUGAAUUUCGGGAUCGAUGCGUCGGUCGUGCUUUCGGGUACGUACUGGCGUCAUCGGUUUCUCCUUUCUGACGAGCCGUGAUGUCAUUAACUUGGUGUUACGGGUAGUUAGGACUGUUACUUUGAAAAAAUUAGAGUGUUAAAGAAGCAGGGCACUUGGCUUGAAUACAUUAGCAUGGAAUAAUGAAAUAGGACGUUCGAUCCUAUUUUGUUGGUUUCUAGGAUCAACGUAAUGAUUAAUAGGGAUAGUUGGGGGCAUUAGUAUUCAAUUGUCAGAGGUGAAAUUCUUGGAUUUAUUGUAGGACUAACUACUGCGAAAGCAUAUGCCAAGGAUGUUUUCAUUAAUCAAGAACGAAAGUUAGGGGAUCGAAGACGAUCAGAUACCGUCGUAGUCUUAACCAUAAACUAUGCCGACUAGGGAUCGGAUGAUGUUAAUUCUUUAAUGACUCA